AGUGGCAUGUCCUGGACCCGAAGCGGGGUGAUCUACCCAUGGCCAGUGUGAAGCAGCUGUAAGAGGUUGUGGAGGCGCGAACCCACGUAGGUUAAAAACUGCGGGGAUGAGCUGUGGGUAGGGGUGAAAGGCCAAUCAAACUCCGUGAUAGCUGGUUCUCCCCGAAAUGCAUUUAGGUGCAGCGUUGCGUGUUUCUUGUUGGAGGUAGAGCGACUGGAUGGUUUAGCGGGACUAUCAUCUUAGCGACAUCAGCCAAACUCCGAAUGCCAGCAAGGUGAGAGCGCGGCAGUGAGACUGCGGGGGAUAAGCUCCGUGGGUCGAGAGGGAAACAGCCCAGAUCGCCGGCUAAGGCCCCUAAGUGUGUACUAAGUGGAAAAGGAUGUGGGAUCGCGAAGACAACCAGGAGGUUGGCUUAGAAGCAGCCAUCCUUGAAAGAGUGCGUAAUAGCUCACUGGUCGAGUGGUUGUGCGCCGACAAUGUAGUGGGGCUGAAGUGCACCGCCGAAGCCGCGGAAACCAUGCUUGUUUGUGUGUGGUUUGGUAGGGGAGCGUCGUGUGCUCGUGGAAGCUGCUGGGUGACUGGUGGUGGAGGGUAUGCGAGUGAGAAUGCAGGCAUGAGUAGCGAAUGACAAGUGAGAAUCUUGUCCGCCGGAUGACUAAGGGUUCCUGGGUUAAGCUUUUCUUCCCAGGGUGAGUCGGGGCCUAAGGCGAGGCCGUCAGGCGUAGUCGAUGGAUAACGGGUUGAUAUUCCCGUACCCGUGCAUGCGCGCCCAUGGUGAAUCAGUGAUACUAACCGCCCUGAAGCACGCGUGAUGGUCUUUGGAUUGUUGUGUGUGUGGAUGCGUGGGGCCUGAUCUGGUAGUAGUCAAGUGAUGGGGUGACGCAGUGUGGUAGCCGAGCCACUGAGUGGAUUGUGGUGUAAGCGUGUAGCCCGGUAUCUAGGUAAAUCCGGAUGCCCUGUGGGGUGAGGCGUGAUGCGUACCCGUUGUGGGGAUGUUGGUGAUCCAUUGCUGUCGAGAAAAGCCUCUAGCGAUGUGUGUGUGCGGCCCGUACCCGAAACCGACACAGGUGGUCAGGUAGAGAAUACUAAGGCGACGGGUGAACUGUGGUUAAGGAAUUCGGCAAAAUGCCCCCGUAACUUCGGGAGAAGGGGGACCACUGCUGGUGACAGACUGGUUGAGCUGGUGGUGGUCGCAGAGAGUAGAGGGAAGCGACUGUUUACUAAAAACACAGGUCCGUGCGAAGACGUGAAGUCGAGGUAUACGGACUGACGCCUGCCCGGUGCUGGAAGGUUAAGAGGACCUGUUAGGCCACGGUUGUGGUCGAAGCGGAGAAUUUAAGCCCCAGUAAACGGCGGUGGUAACUAUAACCAUCCUAAGGUAGCGAAAUUCCUUGUCGGGUAAGUUCCGACCUGCACGAAUGGCGUAACGACUUCUCUGCUGUCUCAACCACAGGCCCGGUGAAAUUGCACUACGAGUAAAGAUGCUCGUUACGCGCGGCAGGACGAAAAGACCCCGGGACCUUCACUAUAGCUUGGUAUUGGUGUUUGGUUCGGUUUGUGUAGGAUAGGUGGGAGACUGUGAAGCGGCCACGCUAGUGGUGGUGGAGUCGUUGGUGAAAUACCACUCUGAUCGUAUUGAGCAUCUCAACCUCGGCCCAUGAUCUGGGUUAGGGACAGUGCCUGGUGGGUAGUUUAACUGGGGCGGUUGCCUCCUAAAUGGUAACGGAGGCGCCCAAAGGUUUCCUCAGCCUGGUUGGCAAUCAGGUGGUGAGUGUAAGUGCAUAAGGGAGCUUGACUGUGAGACUGACGGGUCGAGCAGGAACGAAAGUUGGGACUAGUGAUCCGGCACUGGCUUGUGGAUGCGGUGUCGCUCAACGGAUAAAAGGUACCCCGGGGAUAACAGGCUGAUCUUCCCCAA
rnacentral:rRNA from 1 species